rnacentral:misc_RNA from 1 species
GCCCUGAGAACCCGAGAAAAAUUGUGAUCAAAAGAAUCAUGGGCAUGGGUAGUGAUACUGUUAGAUAUGUUGUGGAUCAUGCAAAUAAUGGAAUAGAACAUACUAUUGUGGUACCAGAUGGACAUGUUUGGAUUGAAGGGGAUAACAAAUUCAAUACCAACGAUUCGAGGAACUUUGGACCUGUACCUUAUGGACUUGUACAGGGCAGAGUCUUUUGGCUUGUAUGGCCUCCUGAAAAUUUUGGAUCAGUAGGAAGAGAAGUACAGUAAAUCAACCUUUCAAGAUUUGGAGUAUGCUUGUAGAGUAUUCUCUCACAAGCCUGGAUUUUAAACAAUUUACUGAAGAUGGCAACUGGUGGG